UACGUAGGGGGCAAGCGUUAUCCGGAUUUACUGGGUGUAAAGGGAGCGUAGGCGGCGGAGCAAGUCAGAAGUGAAAGCCCGGGGCUCAACCCCGGGACGGCUUUUGAAACUGUCCUGCUUGAUUUCAGGAGAGGUAAGCGGAAUUCCUAGUGUAGCGGUGAAAUGCGUAGAUAUUAGGAGGAACACCAGUGGCGAAGGCGGCUUACUGGACUGACAAUGACGCUGAGGCUCGAAAGCGUGGGGAGCAAACAGG
rnacentral:rRNA from 1 species